GUUUGCGGGCUCUACGGGCGGCUACGGCCUGACGGGCGGCGUGGCGUCAGUUCCUCCGUCAUCUCCGUCCUUCUGCUCCUGCGUCCCCGGGGCCGCGGGGGACCCGGUGGGGGGCGCCCCCUAUGCGUCCCAAAAGGGUGAGGGGCGCCCCCGGGUGCGACAAGAGCUCGGGAAGAGCGCGCCAAGCUGCGGGGGCUGCUGGUGGUGGCGUCAGCCUGGCGGAAACACAUGAUUUGCCAUGAGAGAUGGCAGGAUCAAGCAAUCUUGUCAAGUGCCAGAAGCCAGUUUAAAUUAUUUGUGAAGUUGGCCAACUGAGAGCUAAGAGAGCUCUCACUGCCCUUGUCCCCAGAGAAGAGCAUGGUACCCGACUGAGCCUGCUGGAUACAAGACUGAUUUUGACAUCUUGCUCCCCAGGAGCUGAGAAUCCAGUUUCCAUUUUUCUCAAAAAUACAUCUAUCAAAAAAAGCAGGUGAAUGGCUUAUAUCACUGACAACUAGACUAUGAACAUAGAAGCAGAGAUCAGACUCGUAAGGAUGCUUGGUAGUUUACCUGGGAAUGCAGUGAUCUGGCUGGGCCAAGCCACAGUUCUUAGUAAAGUCAGAAACCGCUGGAAAGACUUCUGGGAAAUUUUUCCCUAGUGCACCCUUCCCCUAUCUAGAUGUUUCCUCUUUCACUGUGCAUUUGAUGACUGUGGCUGCAGUAGCCAUCUUGCAAGCAUGAGGAAAAGAACCAGAGAAUCUCAGAGACAUUUGUCCUGACAUCAACACAUCUGCAGAAUCAGUACUUACCGUGGCCUCCUUUCAGACUUCUCGUGAUGUGAGAAAAAUAACCACCUAUUUAUUUAAAGCAGUAUAGUCGAGUGUUCUGUUACAUGUAGCUAAAUGAUGGUACAAGGAGAUAUUUGAGGUUAUUUCCUGGAAUGCUUCAAAAAGUGCUGAAUCACAGGAUAGUGGGAUAGUACUAAGGAGAACAAGGCUCACAUUUAUUUAUUUUUUUAAAUUUAAUAAGCACUUAUAACACUAAGGUCCAAGUUCUGAUCCGAGCACUUUACAAAUAUGAACUCAUGUUAUUCUCACCGAGGAUGGUGACUAUUAUUAUCUCUAUUUUAUGUAAGAGGACAUGGAGGCAUAGAGAAAAUUACAUUUUCUCUCAUCUCUUACCAUAUCAAUUAUACUUCUUUAUAAAACUCUUUUACAGGUUGUACUAGAUUGUACAAUAUAUACUCACAACUAUUCCAAGUCUAUUUUCAAGGACAACUUGAAAAUAUUAGUACUAUUCCAGGUCUAUUUUCAAGUACCACCUCCUAGAUAGUAGAAAUACCAUAUAACAGAGUAUUCCUAAUCCUUUCCUCUUGUCUCAUAAUAUUUCUGUAAUUCAUUUCACUUAUCCAUAUGCUAUAAUUGCCAAACACACCGUUGCCAUUAUUUUUUUGAAUAAACUCUUAUCUGUUGAGUAAUUAGGAAUAAGGACACUGAAAGGUUUUAUCUUACCUUCAUUUAUUCUAACACAUUUCCUUUAUUUAUGUAGAUUCUGAUUUCUGAUUUGUAUCAUUUUCCUUCCCUCUGAAGAACUUCUUUGAACAUUUCUUGCAAAUUAGGUCCACUGGCUUUGGGAAUAAAUUCUCUCAAUCUUUGUUUCUCUGAGAAAAUCUUUAUAUCUCUUAUAGUAUUUUAGAUAUAUUUAAUCAUUAUCUUAUAAAAUCAUUUGAUGCCAAUGAGAAUUCUGUCAUCAGUCUACUUGUCAUUUCUUUGGGACAAUCUAUACUUUCUCCUUGGUAGCUUACAGGAUUUUUAAAAAGUAAUCGAUGUUAUUCAUGCUAUUAUGUAUCUGGAUAUGGGUUAUUUAACAUGCUUGUGCAUUUUCAAUAUUUAUUCACUUCUAGAAAAUUUCCAGGUACUGUUUAUGUAAUUUGUUGAAUAUUUCCUCUCCUUCAUUCUCUUGAUUCUCUUCUUUAGAGGUUUGCUCUCACAAUAAAACUCUUUCAUCAGUACUCCAAGUCCCCUGAAUUCUCUGUCAUAUUUUCUAUCUCUCUCUCUCUGAGUUCAUAAUUAUCUUCUGAAAUCUCUCUUCCAAUCCACUGGUUCACUCUACAUUGUGUCUAAUCUACUAUUUAUUAACCCUUUGUUGAGUUUUUUUCACUUUUAGAAUUUUUUUUAGGAUACUUAGGAUAUUUUUCACUUUUAGGAUUUCAGUUAGGUUAUUUCCUAUAUUGACUUGUUCUUGAUUCAUAGUCAUUGCUUUGCUUUCAUGGACCAAAUGCUUUCUUGCUUUUUUUUUUUUUUGAAUGACUUAAACAUAUUAAUAUUCAAUUCUCUUUCCAAUGAGUCUAAUAUUUUUACUUCUUCAGAAACUAAUUUUUCUACUUAUUGGGUCCAUGUUUUGUCUUCCAUGAUAAUUAGCUACUUCACAAUUUUAGAGUUCAUCAAAUGCUCUUGGACCUUAUUAUUGAGCAGUUUUGUGUUGCUUUUGCCCUGGUUUUAUGGGAUUCAAUGCUUUGGAAGGAAUUUUUACUUGGUUUCAUGGUUCUCGGUGUCUGAACCUAUGUGAAUGCAUUUUGUCAUUGGCCUAAGACAGGUAGCUUGAUUUAGUACUCAAACUCCAGCUGCAAGGUGAAGAAUUUCAAGUCUCUGUUUACAGAAGUGUCAGUGACUUCCAGUUCUCUGCUUAAUGCAAGAUAUCCAGUGCCAGGAGUCUUGAUUCUGAUCUAUCAAGAGCUUAAAAUUCCUAGACCUUGAGGUGUUUAUAUAGGUCUUCAAUGAGAAAGCCCCAAAGGAUGUUAUGGAUCCCUAGAAGAUAUAAGUCCUAUAGAAGACAAGCUCGAAAACAAUAAGUGCAGUAUGGUAAUAGUCACUAGUGAUAAUAUAUAAAUGAAUAGAAUAGAAGCUGAAAGGACAUGCAACAAACCAAUAAGGUUGCCACCAGGAAUAUAACUGGAGGAAAUUGCUUUUUCUAUAUUAUAUGAAUCUUUCACGAUUACAAUGUAUUCAUAUGCGACUUGUAUAAUUAAAAAGUUUGAAAAUUGUAUAAUUAAAAAGUUUGAAAAUUAACAAUGCAUACAGGAAAUACGUUUUGACUCAGUAUGAUAAAAUAUAGACAUUAAUAUCAAAAA